rnacentral:tRNA from 1 species
GGGGCCGUAGUCUAGCCUGGUAGGAUUUGCCCUUGGGGUGGGUAAGACCGGGGUUCGAAUCCUCGCGGCCCCA